rnacentral:rRNA from 1 species
AUACGGAGGUGGCAAGCGUUGCUCGGAAUCACUGGGCGUAAAGGGCGCGUAGGCGGGGAGGUAAGUCGGGUGUGAAAUCCCUCGGCCCAACCGAGGAACUGCGCCCGAGACUGCUUCUCUUGAGUCCCGGAGAGGAAGAUGGAAUUCCCGGUGUAGCGGUGAAAUGUGUAGAGAUCGGGAGGAACGCCGGUGGCGAAGGCGGUCUUCUGGACGGUGACUGACGCUGAGGCGCGAAAGCGUGGGGAGCAAACG